rnacentral:lncRNA from 1 species
AUUUUGAUGGCAACCGGGCUUGUCGCGGCAUCUCCCGGCGGCCGCGGAAUCUACGGAGCGCAUGGAGUUUAAUUCCGAACCUUUAUGGGUUCAAAGUUCUUAUAACCGUUUGACGCCAAAGGUGCAUUGACUUUUCCGAAGUUGUACAUCGGACCAUACAACGAGAGAA